rnacentral:rRNA from 1 species
GACAGAGGGUGCAAACGUUGUUCGGAAUUACUGGGCGUAAAGCGUGUGUAGGCGGCCAAGCAAGUCGGAUGUGAAAGCCCAGGGCUCAACCCUGGAAGUGCACUCGAUACUGCAUGGCUAGAGUAUCGGAGAGGUUGGUGGAAUUCUCGGUGUAGAGGUGAAAUUCGUAGAUAUCGAGAGGAACACCGGUGGCGAAGGCGGCCAACUGGACGAAUACUGACGCUGAGACACGAAAGCGUGGGGAGCAAACAGG